GAUGAAGAACGUAGUGAAAUGCGAUACGUAAUGUGAAUUGCAGAAUUCAGUGAAUCAUCGAAUCUUUGAACGCAUAUUGCGCUCUCUGGUAUUCCGGAGAGCAUGCUUGUUUGAGUAUCAGUAAACACCUCAACUCCCCUUUCUUUUUUGAAAUGGGAGCUGGACUUGAGUGAUCCCAACGCUUUUCUCACCGAAAAGUGGCGGGUUACUUGAAAUGCAGGUGCAGCUGGACUUUUCUCUGAGCUAAAAGCAUAUCUAUUUAGUCUGCCUAAAAACAGAUUAUUACCUUUGCUGCAGCUAACAUAAAGGAGAUUAGUUCUUGUGCUGACUGAUGCAGGAUUCACAGAGACAGCUUCGGCUGGCCUUUGUAAACUCGAUCUCAAAACAAGUAAGACUACCCGCUGAACUUAAGCAUAUCAAUAAGCGGAGGA
rnacentral:misc_RNA from 1 species